rnacentral:lncRNA from 12 species
GUGGCCAGGAAUCAAGGAAAGACAUCUUUGGACUUUUAUUUUAUUUUAUUUAUUUUAUUUUAUUUUAUUAUUUUAUUUUAUUAUUUUAUUAUUUAUUUUAUUAUUUUAUUUUAUUUUAUUAUUUUAUUUUUUUAUUUUAGUUUUUAAUUUAAUUUAAUUUAAUUUAAUUUAAUUUAAUUUUAUUUUAUUUUAUUUUAUUUUUAUUUUCUUUGGACAUUUAAAUUGGCUUGGCACACCAUGAGGAAGUUCACUAAUCGCCUAUGGUUUCCCUGGAUGAAAUCAUGAACUUAAAUCACCAUUAAGGCACACACACAUAAACACAUGCCUGCGCGUGUGUCUGCUGUUGUUCACCCUCAGCGAAUGCUCUGAUUGCAGGGGCUCUUUGGAGACUACUUGGUGUUUAUUCCUAUUUUUAGCCUGGAGGGAUAUUUAACUUGGUGCUUGCCUCGGUAAGCGCUUCCUGGGGACAGAUAGCUCUUUAGAUGCCCCGAAUCUAAAAACCUCUCUCCUAAGAAAAUGCCUCUUCCUAACAAGGGUUUGAUUUGUUUGGUUAUUAGACUCUCUCUUGAGGUAUUGGAAAAUUCUGGACUUUCAUAUGAAAACUGGAAGUUGCAACUUGCUUGCAACAGUUUGUAUUUAUACACAAAAGCUUUAUUUGAAAGGUAUUUCAUACCUUUGUCGAAAGGUGUGAGUGAGACUGCUACGUAUUUGCGAGGGAUUGUGAGUUUCUUCUGGCCGAGCCGCAAGGUCACCUUGGUUCCACGUACAGGCAGUGAUGGGCCCCAUCUGUGUCGUGCUAGCGGGUCAUCAGGGGAGCUCCCGUCUGUCACAGGGCCGGCGACUGUCACCCCCAGGACGUGUUCCCUCCAUAAAUGGAAACCGGCCUCUCCCACUCCCCUUCACCCGUUUUGCCCAACUUCUCUCCUCUCUCCACUCUGGCAACCAUUAAGUUUGUUCUGGGUACUUAACAGUCUGUUCUUGUUUUUUGUUUUAGUUUUCAGAUUCCACAUAAAAGUGAAAUUCCAU